ACGAGUGCGGGCCUUCUAGGUCCAACCUCCCACCCGUGUUUAUUAUACCUUGUUGCUUCGGCGGGCCCGCCGUACGGCCGCCCGGGGGCAGUAGCCCCCGGGCCCGCGCCCGCCGGAGACACCUAUGAACUCUGUGUGAAGAUUGCAGUCUGAGCGAUUAGCUAAAAUCGGUUA
rnacentral:misc_RNA from 1 species